AUUGAACGCUGGCGGCAUGCUUUACACAUGCAAGUCGAACGGUAACAGGUUAAGCUGACGAGUGGCGAACGGGUGAGUAAUGCAUCGGAACGUGUCCGGACGUGGGGGAUAACGCAGCGAAAGCUGCGCUAAUACCGCAUACGAGCUAAGGAUUAAAGCGGGGGACCGUAAGGCCCCGCGCGAUCGGAGCGGCCGAUGUCAGUUUAGGUAGUGGGUGGGGUAAAGGCUCACCAAGCCAACGAUCUGUAGCUGGUCUGAGAGGAAGACCAGCCACACUGGGACUGAGACACGGCCCAGACUCCUACGGGAGGCAGCAGUGGGGAAUUUUGGACAAUGGGCGAAAGCCUGAUCCAGCAAUGCCGCGUGCAGGAAGAAGGCCUUCGGGUUGUAAACUGCUUUUGUACGGAGCGAAAAGGUCUCCUCUAAUACAGGGGGCUCAUGACGGUACCGUAAGAAUAAGCACCGGCUAACUACGUGCCAGCCGCCGCAGUAA
rnacentral:rRNA from 1 species